GUCCUCAGGCCUUUACUCUGGGCUGUCCACUCCGCAGCUUCACUGUCCUCUCCUGGGUCCUUCCGUCCUGGACUCCCUGGCACAUCCUCCAGGCAGAGGACUGCCAGCAUUGGCCUUCCUCUGGCACACUCCCUGCCAGGCUAUACCUUUCUUUGCCGAGAAGGGAUUGUUGCUGUGACCGGGGUGCAAGGGGCCUCCUGGGCUCUCCGUGGGCAGCCAGCGCUUCUCAUACUGCACCUUCACUUUAUUGUCCUUAAGCAGCCCAGCCCAGCCUGUUUCUUUGUGGAAUCCGGGUCGAUGGAGUUUCCGGGUUCCAUGUGGUCCUCUUCCUCACAAUCACGGGCGCCGAGGACAUGGAGCACCCUGAUCUGUAAUGCAGGAUCUGAGCAGAGCAGCCGGUUUCAGACCCCCCUCCCAUCCUGACUUUUAACAGUGUUCUCACCUGAGUCACCUGCCUUGAGCAGGACCCCCCAGCCCCCCAUCAAGCCCAGUGUUAACACAGCACUCUCUCUGGACUUGAUUCACGGCGAAGAGGGUUCUAGCUGGAGUAUAUGUGCUCAGCAGGAGAAGAGGGGGCGACAGCUCACCCAGUUCCCCUUCUGCUUUGGGAAUGCUCUGACAUUCACAGCUCGGGGGCCCACACCGCCAGCCUUUGGGGUUGGUGAUGAGCAGUGACAUUUGAUGCUGGCAGGAAGGCACUCGUGCCUGGGGGUCCUACCUGGGUCCCAGGGAGACCAGCUGGGCACGGAGGGUCAGAGGCUGUGAUUGCUUCAGCUUGCUUUUACUUUGGGCGGUUGAGUUGUUAGCCUACUUGCAGGAGAGCACAUUUUCCCUGUGCGUCUUCAGCCCUUGACUGGGGAGGACAGCGCUUGCAGGUCAUCUGGGGCCUGUUCCAGGGCCACUGGGUGGGGAAGCAGCUUCUAAGGUAUGCCUGGCACCCGUGUUGUCACCUGGGAUGGUGUUCCCUGAGGUGUGCGUGACUGCGUCUCCUCUGAGUCUUAAUGAGUCUGAUUUGAAGGUGUGUCUCGUGGGGUGUGAUUCAGGUGAGGCCCUGGGUGACAUGGGCUGUGGGAGGGCUGGACUAGAGCUGUGCUUCCGUGCCAUCUCCUGACAAGCGAAGUCUCAGUUCUCCCACGCUGGAGGAUGGGGCGUCCAAGUGACUCGCCGGAGCUGGUGGUCGGCUUUGUCCUCUGUCCCGGCCCAGCUGUUCCCUCAGGGCACAGGGAGCCACAGGGGUCCUCCAAGCCAGCCUGAGCUGUUUGAGAGCAGAGUAGGUAAGAGCAGGGAUGUGCGGGCAGCCAGCGCACGUGCUGAGGACCUGCUGUGCUUGUCCUCUGUACCAAAGGAGCACGUCUUUGUGACAAAUCCCAGUGUUUAACGCACAGUGAAAGUCCCUCAGCUUCUCAUCCCAGUCUCCCCAUCACUGUUGUGAAUUAACGUUGUUGGCCUGGAUUUUUUUUUUUUUUCAAAGUACUGAGGAUUGAACCCAGGGCCUUCAUAAUGGAGCUACACCCCAUCCCCUGCCCCUUUAAAAAAAAUUGGAGACAGUGGCCUUAAACUUGCAAUCUUCCUGCCUCAGCUUUCUGAGUAGUUUUGAUUACAGACAUCUGCCACAGUGCCCAGAAGCCUGAUCGCUAAUAAAAAGGGCAUUUUCCAUGGAGAUGCACUGAGACUGUUCCAUGGCAGGGGUGGUGGGCUGCUGCCCGGCAUUGGCAGUGACACAGGAAAGCGGGAUCACAGGUGGGGACAGCUAGGGCCAACUUGAAGACGUAGGCCCCUGGAAGCAGCACCCUGGGCAGCUGGCAGGCAGGGGCCCAGGCUGCUACAGAUGCUGCAGACAGGAGGUGGCGGGCGUCCAACAGCUAGCUACCUGUGCAGAUAGACAUAAGGGCCAGACUGCGCGUACCACAAAAAGUUGAAUAAAAUGAUACACGGUGAGUAUUUAUGUAAAAUACAAAAAUGAAACAGUUUUUAUCAAUUCACAUGUCUCUAAAAACACUGGUACCUAGAGGGUAGUGGUCACAUCUGGGGGCUGCAGGGCGGAAUUGCAGGUAUGUGAGGAUUUCCUUCAAGAGUUGAAAAUGUGAUGAGAGCUGAAGUUUUCACGCAGGGACGCUGGCAUCUGUCUCCGGCCACUGCGGGUCAGAGGACACCCUGCUCUGUUGCCCCCUCAGGGCCAGUACAUCGCUGUCUGCUCCGAGAGCAGGGCCCGUCCCUCGGCAGUGGCACUUGCCUCUACCGUCAACUCUGCUCUGGGGUUCGGGUCUCUCUGUGGGGUCUGGGGGAAUCUGUGAAAUGUGUGUGUUGUGCUAAUGACCAGUGACUGCCAGGUCCCCUGACCACACCAGCUGGGCCUGCUGCUGGGAGCGCAGGAGGCCGGCAGUCAGGAUGAGUGGCCAUGUUGUGUCACCCUGGGGGCCCGUGCGUCUGAUCUGAGUGACUGGUGUUGUCCGGGAGUGCAGGGUGGACCUGUGCCGCUAUCCCCACUGUCCUGCUGCAGCUGGGUGAGAGGCAGG
rnacentral:lncRNA from 1 species